CUUCUAAGAGUUUAGGAUAAGAAGGGGAAUAUGGAGAUUUUGCCCUGGUUCACUGUUUUUAUCCAACCUCCUCAACUUUGUAUGUAUUGAAGACUGAUGUUUUAAACACAGUUCCAAAGAUGAGGAUCUUCUCAACAAUCCAGGAGGUCGUCAGGGGCCAUUAACUCCAUUUUACGGUGAGGCGACAAGUCCCUAAAGGAGAGGGGUCUUGUUCAAAGUUGUAUUGUCAGUUAUUAAUGGAUCCAGGACUGAAGCCCAAGCCUUCACAAUACAAUUUCUUAGCCCAGAAGUAAUACAGAGAGGUUGUCGGGUCCUUUAAAGUCUCCUUGAACAGGGAAUGGAAGAUGAUUAAUCCUGGAGGUCUUGGUCACGUCUCUGCAUGGAGUGAGUUUCACCAGGCAAAGUCUGAGGUGUGGAAUGCAACCAGAAGCAUGCUGCUUGCUGUGGGCAAUGGAAUGUGAGUGGAAGUCACAGGUCACUUCAGAAUGGAGGCCUUCAGAGCAGGGCAGUUGCCCCUCUGUUAGCUGCCUGUUGAGAUACCCAUAUGGCAAGGAACUGGAAAAGGCCUGUGGCCAAUGGCCAGUGAGGAACUGAGAUCCUUGGCCCAAUGACCUACCAGGAACAGAACCCUGCCAACAACCACAUGGGAGAGUCUGGAAGCAAAUUUUCCUUUGGUUACACCUUCAGAUGAGAUUGCAGCUCCAUCCAGUAGCUUGACCAUAAUCUCAUGGCAGAACGUCAGCUAGAAGCACCCAGGUUUCUGCAUUUCUGACUACCGAUGGCUCUACCUGGACCUUCCCUGACCUAACUUGUCCUGUGGCCCCCACCCAGAAGUAGAAUCCCUGGCUUACCAAACUAUCCUUGAAAAACCCUAGCCUCCAAAUUUUCAGAGAUUGAUUUGAGUAAUAUCUCUGUCUGCCAUGUGAUGUGGCUGGCCUUGUGUCUAUUAAACUGUUUCUUUAUUGCA